CGGGGUGAGUAAUGCUUGGGAAUCUGGCUUAUGGAGGGGGAUAACUACGGGAAACUGUAGCUAAUACCGCGUAGUAUCGAGAGAUUAAAGUGUGGGACCUUCGGGCCACAUGCCAUAGGAUGAGCCCAAGUGGGAUUAGGUAGUUGGUGAGGUAAAGGCUCACCAAGCCGACGAUCUCUAGCUGGUCUGAGAGGAUGACCAGCCACACUGGGACUGAGACACGGCCCAG
rnacentral:rRNA from 1 species